GGAUCGAUGAUGACUUAAAGAUUUAUCUAAUUUAAAUCUGAACAAAAUGAGUGACCAAAACACUUCUGUACCACUUCUGUGAGCUGAGGUCCAGCACAGAGACCACUCCAGUCAAACAUGUGUUGCCUGGAGUUGCAACUAGUUGGUCAGUUAGAAGCAACCACAGGGACUGGGGUAUUUGAAAACCACUUGAGUGCAUUUAUUAGAGGAAACGAAUUUUACAUUUGUGUAUAAAAAUUCAAUUGUAGGGUAAAAUGGAAACUCUGAGAGUUUGGUUGGCGGCAUCUAUAUACCAUAGAAACAGAGCCUGGGAAGCAGAACAGUGAGACCCAAGAGAAAUGUUCCUGCCUAUACUUGGUCUGUUCUCACAUUUGCCUGAGCUACUGAUUGAUCUUUUGAGGGUGAUGAGAUGGUCAAAAUCCAAGGAUAUGAUGAGUUUUUACUUCUCAUUUUCUUUUUUUUUUUAUUAUACUUUAAGUUUUGGGGUACAUAUGCAGAACGUGCAGGUUUGUUACAUUGGUAUACACGUGCCAUGGUGGUUUGCUGCACCCAUCAACCCAUCAUCUACAUUAGAUUGGUUUUCACAGAAUUCCAUGGACUUUAACUGCUGAACCAAUGAUGCACUGAUUUUGUCACUUGUACCAGCUAACGCAUCUGGGAGGCAACAAAACAAUACUCUCCUGAGGUUAAUGUGGACCAAAAACUAGAUUUCAUAUAAAAGAGUUUAUUCCUUCUACUUGAGGUGUGACAUGAAGGAAAGUAAUGGAAAUAAUUCUGCCCUCCCAUUCUCAAGGGCCAGGGGGAAUUCAAAUAUUGAACGGAAGUGAUUUUGGAAUUGCAUGGAAUUCUCACUGCCAUCCCAAAGAAAUGCUGAUCUUGUCACUCUUACCUGUUUCAUUCCCUGGGGGCAGAACAAAAGGACGCACUCCAAAGAUCGGCAUGAACCAAGAACUGGGUUUCAUAUAAAAUAUUUUAUUCUGUCCUCUUGAGAUGUGACAUGAGAAAAGUAUUGAGAAUACUUCUAUCACCUCAUCUUCAAGAAUCCGUAGGAAUUCUCCCAUGGUGGACUUUACGGUUAACCUGAACAGGUCUUGGAAAAAGGACUUUAAACAUUCUCCUGUUCUGUGGAAUAAGUAUACUUUUUUCUGGACAUACACCUUGUCAGUUCCAUGUGAUACUAGAGUUGCAUAGAUUUUUAACCUUUACGCCAAUGAAGAUCUGAGGCAAACAUUGCCCCUUUUUUAGAAGUUUGCAUUUGUCACUGAUAACUGUAAUAAUUGAUCUUGUUGAAAAGCCUGGGAAAUGAAGAUCUGAUAUGUCACUUUUACCGGCUUCCUCAACUGAAAAAGAAUACAAUGAAACACGCUGAGAAUUUUUGUGCUUUCUCAGUCUUGCUGAUGAUCUUUCUAUGGGCCUGAAGCGUGGAGAGUGCCAGAGAGGCUGAUCCUCAGCAGUGUGGCAGAGGAAAGUUGGGUGCGACUAAGGGGUAUGCGGUGCCCACAUGCCACUGGGUCCUCAGCAGUACCACCUGAUUGGAAGUGAUAUUGGUGGAAGACAACAUUUUGCCGCUUGGAAUUCUCACCUCCACACCAAAGAAGUACUGUUUUUGUCAUUUGCACCAGCUUCUUUCUCCAGGAAAGAUCAAAACGAUGCACUGCAAGUGUGAUUGGUCCAGAUAGCUGCCUUAUCCAACUGCCUCCUUUGGACCACUUCAUCAUGGGACAGCUUGAUGCAAUCUACUUGACAAGACCCUGGAACCCCACACCCCUCAUGGAACCAGUGUCCACCUCCCAGUCACAGUGUGACCCCAGGGAACUCUUGCCUGCUUGCUUUAAACCCACCACUUAAAAGUCUCCACAGAAAACCUGUUUGAAUAGUACCCUUGACCCAAUAAGGGCAUUGGCCCCUGGGUGUCUCUCUCUCUCUCUCUCUCUCUCUCUCCCUCUCUCUCCCUCUCUCUCUCUCGCUCCCUGACCUCUGCGUGUGGACUCCAGGCAUGCCAUAUACCCCUCAGGACCUGAAGCAAAAGAAUGAAUUAAAGAAAACUCCAGAGAAUGAGCUGACAACCUACUCCCUGGUCAGUGGCUCUCCAUGCCUACCUGUGGUCUCUUGGACACCCUUGCAGAAGAUGACUUCCUGGGAACUCUUCUGGGAGUGAAUGUUAUCAGCAAAUUCCCAAAACAACACCCCUUAGACAAAAAGCCUCCUCACCUAUGCAUUGCCUAGACCACCCACUAAAGGUGAUGGCCACAAAGAGGUGGAUUUGUUGAGUUGGUGCCAUUCCUUCUACUGCCAGCUUCACCAAAACAAUGACACAGUCUUCCUUCCGCAUGGAGACUCUUCUCUUUCCUGUGUUGCAGUGGAUGCCUCCUGCAGAUAAGAAAUGCUUAACUGAGAAAUGCUCAUGUUGGGAUAUCAUCGAUGAGACUUUAAUUUGGGCAUGGUGACUGUUUCCCUUGCUGCCACUUGACUCAAUCCCAGGAGCCUCAGUAGAGGAUAUAAUAUUACACAAGAUGCUCAAAAUGGUGGAAUUGCUCAGUGCUCCCAUAAAUAUACAUUUAUAAUUUUCAUUUGCCACAUGGUAAACUGAAAAAUACAGACUAUAUUAAAAAGAAACUGCAUGAUUUUUUUUCAAAAAUUCAAAGCAUAUUUAAAUAAUAUAUAAAUUAAAUGCCCUCCUCUCUUCCAAUUCUGUCCCUAUAGUUUUCCUCUAUUAAGUGAACUACAUGCAUUCUUUUAGUGGAUAGAUGCACACAAACACACAAGCCAUUAUGGGGAAGGAUCCACGUGUGUGGCCAUAUUGUAACACAUUUUUCUGCAAAUCACCUCUUUCAUUUAACAGCCCUUAUUCAAUGGCCUUUUUCUUUUUCAGUAGUACAUACACAUCUGUGUCAUUUGUUGAAUGACGACAUGAAUGUUUUGUAGAUAAAAUAUAAUUAAAUGUUUUAAGCAUUUCUCACUCAUAGAUAUUUAUGUUAGCACCAAAUUUCUGUGCAAUGAACCUCCCUAUAUAUCAGUAAUUUUGCAUUUGUCUAUAAUAUCAUAAUAAAUUACUUAUCAGUUGAA
ensembl:lncRNA SNHG14 small nucleolar RNA host gene 14